AGCAGCCGCGGUAAUUCCAGCUCUAAUAGCGUAUAUUAAAGUUGUUGCGGUUAAAAAGCUCGUAGUUGGAUUUUGGGGUCUCUACCGUCGGUCCGGUGUAAACCGCGUACUGACAGUUGGGUCCUUCUGUCUGGAGACGCCGGACGUGCUUCUUCAUUGAGUGCGGUCGGUGGAUCUAGGACUUUUACUUUGAACAAAUUAGAGUGUUUAAAGCAGGCCUCCGCCUGAAUACAUUAGCAUGGAAUAAUGAAAUAGGACAUCCGAUUCUAUUUUGUUGGUUUCUAGGAUCGAUGUA
rnacentral:rRNA from 1 species